rnacentral:lncRNA from 1 species
AGGAGGCUUAUUGGGAGGGAUGAAAGCAAGGCAUAGUUGGAUGAAGGCAAGGAAUGGAGAUCUUUAUUCCUAUUGGUCAAAGUCCAUGCCCAAUGGGCUUCAAGGAGGCUGGCCGAGGCCUUAUUGGGUAUUAGGAUUACUUUUUUGAAGUCAUUCGAGCUUUAUAGGCUAAGGUAAUCAUGUUUAGGUUUUUGAGUACGGAUUGGGUGCAAAUUUUGUAUGAUUUGGAGUUUUUAUGAAGGAUUU